UCUCCUGUCCAGGCGCAAGGCAUUGAUCCGAGUAAGAUGCAACUCCCUUGUGCUAACUGAAAGGCUAUACUCAAUGUCCCUCAUGGCCUCUCUCGCUUCAAAUGUCCUCAAUGCGACAUCGAUCUUACUAUCGAUGUCAUGAAAAUGAAGAAGCUUCUUCCUCCUCCCGUCGAAGAAUUCAAUGAGGAGAUAUGAACUGUCUAAGAGCGGCGACGACGACAUACUGCGUGGGAGCUGGAGAAGCUUGAAGUGAGUGGGCGAACUCGUACAAUGAUUGCUUCAAAGGUAAACUAAAGGAGGUGAAGGCUGAGAAUUUCAACGACAAUUCUCAGUUCUGGUAGCAGCAGUUCUGGGAGCUAGCAGCAGUUCUGACAGCAGCAGGUGAUCAAUGCUCACAAUUUAUAUCGAGUAUUCAAGUAUUCAAAGUGAUUUUUGAGAGCAAAAAUUCAGUCAUACAAUUGCCUAUAAGUGCCGAAAAUUCUAAGUACCUUAAGGGCGAUCCUAGUUGGUCAAGCUUAAGGCUGAUCCGGACUUGCUGUGGACUAUCUACGGAGGGACGACACUUGGAGUCCUAAAGACCUGUUCUUGUUCGGUUCGGGCGCAGCUAGGGAAGGCACGCAACAAAGAGUAUGCAUCUAAACUAUGUAAAUGAUUAUGUGUAAAUAAUAUGCUUU